AGUGAACGCUGGCGGUAGGCCUAACACAUGCAAGUCGAACGGCAGCACAGUAAGAGCUUGCUCUUACGGGUGGCGAGUGGCGGACGGGUGAGGAAUACAUCGGAAUCUACUUUUUCGUGGGGGAUAACGUAGGGAAACUUACGCUAAUACCGCAUACGACCUACGGGUGAAAGCAGGGGAUCUUCGGACCUUGCGCGAUUGAAUGAUCCGAUGUCGGAUUAGCUAGUUGGCGGGGUAAAGGCCCACCAAGGCGACGAUCCGUAGCUGGUCUGAGAGGAUGAUCAGACACACUGGAACUGAGACACGGUACAGACUCCUACGGGAGGCAGCAGUGGGGAAUAUUGGACAAUGGGCGCAAGCCUGAUCCAGACAUACCGCGUGGGUGAAGAAGGCCUUCGGGUUGUAAAGACCUUUUGUUGGGAAAGAAAAGCAGCAGGUUAAUACCCCGCUGUUCUGACGGUACCCAAAGAAUAAGCACCGGCUAACUUCGUG
rnacentral:rRNA from 1 species